ensembl:miRNA
GUGGUCUAGCACUGUGUGGAAGACUGGUGAUUUUGUUGUUCUAAUCACCAUGACAACAAGUCACAGCCGGCCUCACAGCGCAGACUCCCCUCGACCUU